rnacentral:rRNA from 1 species
AACGAACGCUGGCGGCAGGCUUAACACAUGCAAGUCGAGCGCCCCGCAAGGGGCGCGGCAGACGGGUGAGUAACGCGUGGGAACGUACCCUUUGCUACGGAAUAGCUCCGGGAAACUGGAAUUAAUACCGUAUGUGCCCUACGGGGGAAAGAUUUAUCGGCAAAGGAUCGGCCCGCGUUGGAUUAGCUUGUUGGUGGGGUAAUGGCCUACCAAGGCGACGAUCCAUAGCUGGCCUGAGAGGAUGAUCAGCCACAUUGGGACUGAGACACGGCCCAAACUCCUACGGGAGGCAGCAGUGGGGAAUAUUGGACAAUGGGCGCAAGCCUGAUCCAGCCAUGCCGCGUGAGUGAUGAAGGCCUUAGGGUUGUAAAGCUCUUUCACCGGAGAAGAUAAUGACGGUAUCCGGAGAAGAAGCCCCGGCUAACUUCGUGCCAGCAGCCGCAGUAACAC